GGCUCAGUGGCGGAUGGUCCGCAUCUGUCAUUAAUGUUUGGUAACUUCUGCCGUUAGCAGAAGUAGCUCGCUCGUUCGAAUCGGGCCUGAGCCG